AACGAGAAGCGAACCUGCGAAGGCAAGCGGAUCUCUUAAAGCCGUUCUCAGUUCGGACUGUAGGCUGCAACUCGCCUACACGAAGCUGGAAUCGCUAGUAAUCGCGGAUCAGCACGCCGCGGUGAAUACGUUCCCGGGCCUUGUACACACCGCCCGUCACACCAUGAGAGUUUGUAAUACCCAAAGCCGGUGGGGUAACCUUUUGGAGCCAGCCGUCUAAGGUGGGACGGAUGAUUGGGGUGAAGUCGUAACAAGGUAUC
rnacentral:rRNA from 1 species